UACGAAGGGGGGCUACGUUGCUCGGAAUCACUGGGCGUAAAGGGUGCGUAGGCGGGUCUUUAAGUCAGGGGUGAAAUCCUGGAGCUCAACUCCAGAACUGCCUUUGAUACUGAAGAUCUUGAGUUUCGGGAGAGGUGAGUGGAACUGCGAGUGUAGAGGUGAAAAUUCGUAGAUAUUCGCAAGAACACCAGUGGCGAAGGCGGCUGACUGGUCCGGUUCUGACGCUGAGGCGCGAAAAGCGUGGGGGAGCAAAACAGG
rnacentral:rRNA from 1 species